UGAACGCUGGCGAGAUGCUUUACACAUGCAAGUCAUACGAGAGUUUUUAACUCAAGUGGCGGACGGGUGAGUAACACGUAAGAAUUUACCUUUAGGAGGGGGAUAACAACGAGAAAUUGCUGCUAAUACCCCAUAUGCUUUCGAGUGAAAUGGAUUUUUCCGCCUAAAGAGAAGCUUGCGCCUGAUUAGCUUGUUGGUAAGGUAAUGGCUUACCAAGGCGACGAUCAGUAUCUGGUUUGAGAGGAUGAUCAGACACACUGGAACUGAGACACGGUCCAGACUCCUACGGGAGGCAGCAGUGGGGAAUUUUCCGCAAUGGGCGAAAGCCUGACGGAGCAAUCUCGCGUGAGGGAUGACGGCCUAUGGGUUGUAAACCUCUUUUUUCAGGGAGGAAUCAAAUGACGUGUACCUGAAGAAUAAGCAUCGGCUAACUCC
rnacentral:rRNA from 1 species